rnacentral:rRNA from 1 species
AGAGUUUGAUCCUGGCUCAGGACGAACGCUGGCGGCGCGCCUAACACAUGCAAGUCGAACGAGCGAGAGAGAGCUUGCUUUCUCGAGCGAGUGGCGAACGGGUGAGUAACGCGUGAGGAACCUGCCUCAAAGAGGGGGACAACAGUUGGAAACGACUGCUAAUACCGCAUAAGCCCACAGGUCGGCAUCGACCAGAGGGAAAAGGAGCAAUCCGCUUUGAGAUGGCCUCGCGUCCGAUUAGCUAGUUGGUGAGGUAACGGCCCACCAAGGCGACGAUCGGUAGCCGGACUGAGAGGUUGAACGGCCACAUUGGGACUGAGACACGGCCCAGACUCCUACGGGAGGCAGCAGUGGGGAAUAUUGCACAAUGGGGGAAACCCUGAUGCAGCGACGCCGCGUGGAGGAAGAAGGUCUUCGGAUUGUAAACUCCUGUUGUUGGGGAAGAUAAUGACGGUACCCAACAAGGAAGUGACGGCUAACUACGUGCCAGCAGCCGCGGUAAAACGUAGGUCACAAGCGUUGUCCGGAAUUACUGGGUGUAAAGGGAGCGCAGGCGGGAAGACAAGUUGGAAGUGAAAUCUAUGGGCUCAACCCAUAAACUGCUUUCAAAACUGUUUUUCUUGAGUAGUGCAGAGGUAGGCGGAAUUCCCGGUGUAGCGGUGGAAUGCGUAGAUAUCGGGAAGGAACCCAGUGGCGAAGGGAGCCUACUGGGCACAACUGAAGCUGAAGGUCGAAAAUGUGGGUAGCAAACAAGGAUUAAAUACCCGGGUAGUCCACCCCGUAAACGAUGACUCAUAGGUGUUGGAGGAAUUGACCCCUUCAGGGCCGCAGUUAACACAAUUAAAGUAAUCCCACCUGGGGAGUACGACCGCAAGGUUGAAACUCAAAGGAAUUGACGGGGGCCCGCACAAGCAGUGGAGCAUGUGGUUUAAUUCGAAGCAACGCGAAGAACCUUACCUGAUCUUGACAUCCCGAUGACCGCUUCGUAAUGGAAGCUUUUCUUCGGAACAUCGGUGACAGGUGGUGCAUGGUUGUCGUCAGCUCGUGUCGUGAGAUGUUGGGUUAAGUCCCGCAACGAGCGCAACCCCUAUCUUCAGUAGCCAGCAUUUGGGAUGGGCACUCUGGAGAGACUGCCAGGGAUAACCUGGAGGAAGGUGGGGAUGACGUCAAAUCAUCAUGCCCCUUAUGACCAGGGCUACACACGUGCUACAAUGGCGUAAACAAAGAGAAGCAAACCUGCGAGGGCAAGCAAAUCUCAAAAAUAACGUCUCAGUUCGGAUUGUAGUCUGCAACUCGACUACAUGAAGCUGGAAUCGCUAGUAAUCGCAGAUCAGAAUGCUGCGGUGAAUACGUUCCCGGGUCUUGCACUCACCACCCGUCA